AAACUGAGUACAAAGCAAGUUUCUGAAGUUUUUACUUCAGGGGGUUACAAUUGGUAAGUCUGCAAUCAGACUGCACAUUAUCUGUUUUGACUAAAUUAUCAUUGUAUAAUUCUCUCAAAUGUUUAUUGGUCCAGCUAGUAUUUUAAUUCCAUUUUUGAUCUUUUGUCUACAUCUAUUUGAUCUCCCUAUAGUUAUUCUGGUUUUUGAUUUUUUCAUCCAAAAGCAUUGAGCUGUCUUUGUUGAUUGCUAAGAACCAUGAGCCGGGUUCAGUUUUUACUUUUUAAACUAUGAAGUUCUUGGUUUUUCGUCACUAAUAGUAAAUAAUUAAGUGGGUGUUUCCUUAUAAGUGGUGUUGCUAACCUAUGAGCUCUCGACUGCCAUAUGAUGUUAACCACAGGAUGUUUUUAUUCUUGACAUAUUCAGGCAUAUCGAUUUAUAUCCAAGUGUUCAAUCUCACCCAAACAUCUUCGCUAUGUUUGUGGUCCUGGAUAAAUUCAUCCUUUUUUCUACCAAAACUCGAGUAUAUGUGGAUUACAGCCUCUGCUUGGUGGACCAAAUCAAUGGCAAACAUGAGAAGAUAUCAGGUUUGGUUGUGCUCGCUAGUUUUUUGCUUGAAUCAUUCAUCUGAUUCUACGUUUUUAUUAAAAAAAGUCAUUUGCCAUGAAAUCAGACGUGAGACAAAUGGACUUAUUAACUCGAUAUAUCUAUUAUCUUAAUAGCUCAUAUGCCCUGAUAAAACUUGAGGAUCACUGGUGCCUCAGUAUCUUUCGUGAUGUAUAUAGCUCUUUUUUAUUCGAGUCCUUGUAAUUUUCUUAAAUAUAUUGCAUUUUAUAUCAUGAACCUAAGUUAAUAGUAUACAAAUCCCAAUCUUCUCCUACUUCCAAUGUAUGAUUAAUCUAAAAUCUUGCUUUGUUUCUGCAGAGCGAGAUCAAUUUGCCUCGGGGAGAGGCUGCUGGAGACGUGUCAUGCUUCUGAACUUGAAAGAUAUACAAAAUCCAUCAAGGGGAUUCCUUCACAACGAAACUUGCAUUGUUCUAGCAUCCCUUACUGUUCUUGGAAAUGUCAACAUUACUUAGAACACUGGUGUAUUACCCUUUGAUGACUUGUUUAUUAAUGUUUCAAGAAAACCACAUGUCGACCUCUUAGAUUAAUCCUAUUUUGAAGCUUUAUCAGUAGGAAGUAGGCUGUCUGACUCUUCGAUGCCACCGUAAUCAUCUUGUUGGUGGUAAUAAUAGUACUCCAUGGUAACAUCAUGUGCUGGUGAAGGCUAUAUACUUUCCAUGAUUCAUCUCAAUGUGGAUUAUUCUGUAUGGUCCUCUUCAAAAAAAAUUCAACGAUCCAAUAUCUUGACAAUGUGUCAUGCAAAUUAGGACAAAAUGGUGUCUCCGAGUGCUUGUCUUUGAAGAAGGUAAUAACCCCGGAAACUUAUACUUGGGUGAUUAAGAAUUUCUCGAAACUGUGUAGAACUAGAAUCUGAGCUUUUUACAUCCAGGGGUUACAGCUGGUACAUCCGCAAUAAUACUGCACAUUAUCUGUUUUGACUAAAUUUUCAUUGGUGCAUCAAUUAUGUUGAUUCCAUUUCUGCUGUUUUAUCUAAAUCUUUUUUAGCUCCUCGUCAUUGUUCUGGUUUCUGUUUUUUCAUCCUGAAGCAUUGAGCUGGCUUUCUUGAUAGCUAAACAUCAUGAGCUGGGUUGAGAUUCUAUGGUUGAAUCUAUGUAGUUAUUGGUUUGUCUUCACCAUUAGAAAUGGUUACGCUGGUUUUCUUGGUUGUUACCGAUCGUGAACUGGGUUUGAUACUCACAAGUCUUGUUUCUAACCUUUGAGCUCUCGACUUUCAUAGCUCAUACACCGACCUCCUCGCUAUGUACUUGGUCCUGGAUGAUCCAGUUGCUCUUCCUUCCAAGACAAGAAUGUAUGUGGAUUUCAAUUUUUGCCUGCUGGAUCAUUUCAAUGGCAAACAUAAGAAGAAUCCAGAUUGAGAAUCCAUUUCUUUUAUUUUUUGCAGGGCAAAAUCAACUUUCCUUGAGGAGUUCAGUUGGCGAUGGAACAGAUUUUGUAGCGGAAAGAUGUCCAUAGUUCAGAAAGAUUGCAUGUUCUGUUCUUCGAGAAGUCAGCACACUAUUUGAACAAAUGGUGGGGCGGAUGUUAAUCUUCAAUGAGGAAUGUCAUACGAGUUGUAAGAAUUCACACACCAGUUGUGUUUUGUGUCUUGUUCCCUAUUUCUGCUUGUGUUCUUCAGGUGCAUGCAAUCAGUGGCUUAGAGCAUUAACGCAAUUAGCAGAACCAAUAAUAUCGUAUUUGUCUUGGCGUUUGUCUCUUCCUGACGAAUGAACAGCUGAAAUGUUUGAUACUCUGAUGAUUCUUAUGUCUGUCUUAUGUCUCUUUUAUCGACACAAUUAAAGAACGCUUAAAGCAAUGCAAAUUGCCAGCACGAGUGGUUAGUCUCCGCUGUUUUCUCGUAAGAAAACCUUUUGCUGCCGCUCGUGUGAAGGCAGAUCCAUUUUGGAACUGUAAACAUCUGUGUUCGAGUCGCACAAUCCACGGAAGAGAGAAGAAGCAUACUGCAACAAUAAAGACUUAAAACUCGCUAAGACUACUUAGAUUAUGUGUAGAAUGUUUGUAUAGCACGUCUUGUAGCGAAGAAUCAAUUAUAUUGAUGGGAAUGAAUCCAACAUUAAUAUUAUUGUGUGUUCGAACCAUUAAUGUUCGAGGAUGAAUAUAUUUCGUAACAUAAUGUCUAUAAUUGUGCUGAUUGCCUAACUUGAGAGUGGAAAGGUAUAAGAAUUGGUAGGUGGCCAAAGAAUCGAUUGACCUCGAUACCUAA
rnacentral:lncRNA from 1 species